CUUGGACUGGGAGGUGGGCCCCGGCGUGGACCGAGUGCGGGGCGGCCGCGAGGACAGCGCAGCGAGGGGCACGGGCGCGGGUGGACGGCGGGGCCCGACCGCAGAGCCCCCGCCCCGGGCCACUACCCUCCAUCGGACUCCCGGCGAGUCCCCCAGAGUGCCUGCCUGCCCCUGACGUCCCCUCCCCGGCCCCUGGGGCAGACGACGUGGCCGCCCAGGGCGCAAGCCCCCCGCGCGGCGGGCGGGACAGGACCUCUGCGCCCCCUCGGGCGGCGACGCGGAGACGGCAGGGGGCGCGCUCCGCCACCGGGCGCCGCGGCUCAGGGUCUUGGGACCGUUUUCCUCCUCGGCAGACUCCAUUCACACUCUCUCCGGUCUCGGCACUGGCUCUUCCCCUUGUUCCUCACUCCCUCCUCCGUCGAGGACUCCCUUAGUUCCUUGCCCUGGCCUCUGUGGGUAAUUUCCUCGAGGGCCCACACUAUGCCAAGUACUUACCAUUCCUCUCACCUUUCUCCCUUCGUCUUCCUCCCAUCCUUUACAUUCUGUUCCUUCCUCCUACUCUUCCCUUUCCUGCCCUGCUUCUAUCCCUAUUCCUAUUUGAUUGUUCCUAUUUCUCAUUCCCUAUCCCAGUCUGCCUUAUUGUUUUUUCCCCCUCAUUUCUCGCCUAUAUCUGUACCUCUCUCUUGUCUGUCUGUCUAUCUCUGUCUCCCUCCCUUGCUCUCUCUCCCUCUCUUCCUCUAUUAAUUUCCCUGAUUGGCUCCCCGACUCCAGCGCAGCUGAUGAGCCCUAUUCAUUCCCGGGCCUGACACUCUCGACCUGCCCUGGCUGAUUGCUGGGGGCUGGCCCCAGGAGCGCUGAUGAGCCCCAAGGGUCAGCGGCGCUAAUUAUCCGCUAAUUGCGGGUGACUCUGCUCACCUCCCCCGUUCUCAGACACAGAAAUGGUGGCUCUUUUUACCCUCCCCCUCCUUCUGAUUCCCAGAAGUAGAGUUGUCAAUCUACAGGCAAAAGUCACG
rnacentral:lncRNA from 1 species